rnacentral:rRNA from 1 species
UACGGAGGGCGCGAGCGUUACCCGGAUUUACUGGGCGUAAAGAGCUCGUAGGCGGUUUGUCGCGUCUGCCGUGAAAGUCCGGGGCUUAACCCCGGAUCUGCGGUGGGUACGGGCAGACUAGAGUGCAGUAGGGGAGACUGGAAUUCCUGGUGUAGCGGUGAAAUGCGCAGAUAUCAGGAGGAACACCGAUGGCGAAGGCAGGUCUCUGGGCUGUAACUGACGCUGAGGAGCGAAAGCAUGGGGAGCGAACAGG